CAGCAGAGGGCUGAAAGAGGCCUAAAAAAAAUCCAAUUCUGAUUGGUUCUCGCUCAUGGAGGCCGAAACGAGUGCACCAAGAUGGCGGCACCUCGAAUGUGAACAAAAGUAAUGAAAAUAUAACUAAAUUGUGGUUUAUCAAGAGUGAAUUGUAAUUUUAAUCGCACCAAAAUGAAAAUAGAUUAAGAAAUUAUCCACUAAUCAAUCUAAUUUUAAGGUUUUAAUCCGUUUUGUUGAUGUUGUUGUUUUUGGAUGACAGACAUCGGAGGAUUCCUUAUCCUUAUCCCUCAAUAUCGUUCGUUUGAGUGCACUCGUUUCGGCCUCCAUGGCCAGCCAAGGCCGGCUGCCAGUCAGCUGAUAAUCGAGUUGUCUUAACUCUGUGUUAAAAGGGACUCUAGUGUAAAAGUAAGUAUGGAAUUUACAGAUUUCCGGCAGUGAUAUAAUAGAGCCGUUGGUAUUAUGCACAACAAAAGAGGGAAAACCUGAAAAAAGUGAGGUUAGUUUGUUUUGACCGCUCUUCCUUCAAAUUCGUCGCAAUUUGACAUUUUGUUUACCCAUGAAUAUUUCGUGAUCUUUCCGUUAUGAAGGGUUCAGAGGAAACGAAACUUUCAACAUCUCCAACAUCGAAACGAAUCAAGCUCAAUAUGAAAUCUAACGACCGCAAAUCUGCACUGUUGGAAGAGGACUUGAGUGAUAUGGGAGUAGAUUUAUUGUACCCAAAAGAUGAUGAUCCAGAUGCGCCAUUCUCUGCUGAUGAUUCCGAGAAUGAAUGCCCACCCACUCCUGAAUUGAGUCAGGGAGCUGUGCUAAAUCUUCAGAUUCCUCCUCUAGAGUAUUGA
rnacentral:lncRNA from 1 species